rnacentral:lncRNA from 1 species
CUUUAAAUGUUGAAUGAAAAUCAAGCUACAGGAUAAAUCCAAGCAAAACUGGUAAUAAUUUCUGGUUUGGCUUGUAGGUGGAGUUGAAUACAAUGUGAUUAACUACAAGCAAUAUGUUGUGAAGAUGAUGGUAUUCAGACACAUACCCAAACAAUUUGAUUCAGAUAAAUUGGAUACAAGACUUUGACCAGCACGAGAAGAACAGGCACUGUGCAAGCAGGGAGCAUCCCAGACCCGUGGAGGAGCUCAGCAGGAGAAGAAUCAGUGGGGGAAAAUAGUCCUAAUGCUGUGUUGCUGCUGGUGGGUCAGGCAGUUUGAACAGAGGUCUGUGGUGCUCCAGCUCGUUGGGAACUUCUGUGCUCAGGCCAGGAGGAUGCUACAGAUGGAGCUGAUCUGUGAGUAAGUUUCUGGAGGCCAUUAUGUCUCCUACAGUUUUGGUUUGUUUUUUUUUUCUAAAGGAGCCAUUGCUCUGUCCCUGUCUGUGUGUGAGGG